rnacentral:lncRNA from 1 species
CCAAGGCCUUUUCCAGAUCAUGAGUCAAAUUUCCCCAGCUUUUGAUUAUGGUUUAAACUAUACUGGCAAAGAAUUGAGUAAUAUAAAAAAGAACAAAGAGCUUAGGCUCUAGUCUUGAGAAGUUUACAUUCUGAGAUUGUUCCAGGUUACAAUGAACUUCCACCCUAGGACUCUCGAGUAUGAUUUGGAAUUGUGGAAGUGAUAAUCAUAUCACAAUCUUUGUGAUAAUCAUAGCAUCACAUUACUUUAGAGCACCAAGAGACUUACAGAAUCAUGCUCUCUGAUCAGAGCAUUUUACGAAAGGGAAAACUGAACUAAGCCAAAAACUUAGUUUGGAGGGGACACCCUAACCAGCCUCAAGAUCACUGAAGCCCUGUACAAGGUUUUUCUCCCACACUGGAAUGUCACUGCUGGUGUCCUAGGUAGGUCUCCAGAGAAAGAACUCAUUUCAACCUUAAUUAAAGCAUGCAAUUAUUCAAUUCUAUAUAUGUCUGCAUAGAACGAGAGAUAGACAUAGCUAUAGGUAGAAAAUCAAUAUCAUAAACUUCAUUGAUCUUGUUUUUAAUGAAGAGAAGAAUGAAGGAGAAAACAAAAAGUGAUCCCAUAAUCUCAGAGCCCUGAUAACUCCUGUUGAUACUUAAAUCUUUAUAUUUUUAAUACCUUUAUCUCUUCUGUUUUAAUAAUAUAAAUGUAGUCACCAUUUCUUAACCAGUUACUAUGCACCAGGUCUUGUUCUGGGUGAUAUAUGUAUUUAAACUUCAGAAUAACCUCAUGACAUAGGUAUGAUUAGUCUCAUUUUACAGAGGAAGUGCUGGAAGCUUCAGGAAGUUUGCUCAAAAGGGAGACUAGGCCAAAGCCUGGGUAUGGCUGGGUCAGUCCUCAAACGCAAGCCAGUGAGGUUGGAGCUGUUUCUCUGGUCCCACACUGCAUCUCCAUCUUCCCUUUGGGAAAUAAAACUCCAGUUUCCUUCCUCAUCCAAGACAGAUACUUAAACCCUAUAUUUAUGAGGACAGCUAAUAAUAUCCCAAUUACAAUCACUGUAUUUAGAUAAAGAUGAAAUAGCAUCAUUAAUAUUUAAAUAAUAAACUUGAUUACAGUUUUAAAUCAUUUAAGAUGAUUUUAUUUUUCAAUAAGGCAUUUGAGGAUCUCCCUGAGCAAGGCCUGGGGCAGGGAACUGUGCCUCUCCUAUUGUCAGUUGAAGAUCUUAACCUCACAGGAAAAGCAAGCACCUCAGUGGUUUUUCUUGUCCAUUGCCUGCCCAGAAUGCCUUAUCCAAAGCAGAACAGAUUUGUAGAUUUGUAGGGGAAGGUUGGUUGCACCAGGUGCAGCAUCGUGGCUCCUUUUGGAAGGAACAGGCAGAGCUGCGAGGAGACUCUGCUGUGUUCUUCCACAGAGGUGGCGCAGCUGAAUCACCAGGGCUUGGCCCAGAAAUGUGACUGGGAUUCCAAGCACAGCCUCUUUCAGGAAAGGGACACAGAGGCAAGCAGAAAUGUUCGUGCUCCUUCAGAUAAUUCAUUCCUGGCUCCAUUCACCCUGCCCCUGCUCCACCCCCUGGCUCCCAAGUCAAGGCAAGAUUUCUUGUCAGGGUCUUUCGCAGCCAAAUCAUAUAUAUGACUUAAAGAGGUUUGUUGGCCCUGGCAGUUCCUGGAAUCUUUCCAGAAAUAUAGCCAGAGGGCCAGAGUGGUGCUGCCAGUCAUCCUCUUGGGAUCCAAGCUCUGAGAGAGCCAGGAGAUGGCUUUCCAGAGCUCCACCCUGCCAGCUCUGAUUCACAUCUGUGUUCUCCUCUCUGGGGAAACUCGCAGGGUGGAGUCCAGAGGAGGGAAGGAAAUCUUUGGGUCUGCUCUUUAUCCAUUGUCCCAUCAUUCUGGCGACUGUCAGUCUUUAUUUUUUUAAACGUUAAACAUAUAAACAGCAUUGCUUCAUUUUUCUUUAUAGGCGAUAAUGCUCCAUUAUGAAGAAAAAAAACUUGUUUCUUGCUUCCAAUGGAAACGAGAUGUUUACUUUUUACUUCAAACUGAGAGAUUUCAGAAUAUGCUAAGUGAGUUCUGCCUUUCUGACUUAAGUUAUCCUGUUUUUCAUUUUCCUAUUUUCCCACUGACAGAGAGUGCAAUUAUUGCUACCCUUUUUGACUAGCUAGCUGACUCUUUCUCCUAAAAACGUGAAUUAUAACUAGAAAAGGCUACUUGGCGGGCCUGUCUAUGGUGAGCUCUUGCCUGUGAGAGUUAACUAGAAUGCUCCUAGUAAUAUUUCGUUGUAAUUUUUCUGUUGUCGUGUUCUCAGAAGCCCCAAUCCAUCAGUCUAUUCAAUUGCCUCCACUGGACAACACAGCAAAAUUCAUUCCAGGAGACUUCCUUUUUAAUAGUUUUCACUUUGACCCAUCUUAUUUCUGUGAGUUAUGCUGAAAUGUACACAUAUAUACAACUCACUGUUGAUUCCCAGCAGCCAGAAUGUCGCAGAGGUGCCACCACCAUAUACAUUUAUGCAUGUAAAUGUAUAUAUACAUAUAGACCUGGUAAGGUUCAUGCACUCAAUUAUCCGGCAUCGUUGAUGUCAGGAACUCAGAAUUGCUUUGAGGAAUUCAGAAUUCUAUUUUUAGACUUUUUCAUAAAUGGAAACAUAAGUGACAGUCAUGCUGUAGAAUACAAGAUGUUGUCCUUAUAUUAACUAGGAGAACAACAUGGAUGCUAAUAUAUAUAGUUCACUGUAGUUUGGUAUUAUUGAUAUUCCUUUCCUUUUCUGUGUUCAGCUUCUUCACCAAAUUAAAAUGCUUUGCAAAGUGUGGCUUGUUUAUCAUCUUCUUUCUCAAUCAUUUAGAAUGUGGGUGUGCAUGUUCCUGUUUCCUAUUUACUAAAUUCAAACAUAGAAAUUUAAACAUGCUUAGAGGCUAAGACAGAGGAUAAUACCUCCUGGUGUUCCUAACACAUUAUCUCUCUCAAAACCAUUUUAUUACCAAAUAACACUCAGAGCUUUGUGGAACAGAAAGUAUGCUUCUUUAUAGAGACAAUAAGUCCUAGAACUCAAGCAAGUUGUUCCAUGGUCAUUGAUAACAAGUAUAACUCAAAAGUCCCAUUACUGUCAUAUGGUUUUUUUCCAUAAACAAACUGAUAGAAAACUAGCAAACUUGACUGAAAAAUGUAAAUUCUUGGGAGAAUAAUUUUUCAUGUAAAAACCUACCGCUAAUACCUGUUCCACACUGUCCUUAAUGCUAAGAAGGAAUAAGAUGUUCCUCUAUAUAUCUUCAUUCUAAAUAAUUCAUAGUUCUUGAUACACACAUGGACCAAGAUCUAACUUUUUUUAUUAAAUACACAGUGUUCUCAAAGCAGGUUGUUGGCUUUUGAGGCCAUGAAAGUUUUGGGAAGAUUUUAUCUGUGACACCUGCAUGCUAUACUUAGCCAUAUGGCAGUGUACCAAUGCCAGCGAAGAUGUUUGGGAAAGUAAUCGCACCACAGGUGACCCAAGCUCUGUCCUAUGUAACUCAAUUCUGCUGGACCACUAGUGUGAAGAGAAUGGAUGAUGCCAGAAUUCUGAAAAAAGUAUAGAAUCUCUAGAUUAGAAGAGACCUUAAAUUUCACCCAAUCCCCACCACACUGAUGCAAGCAUCCUUGAAAAGCAUUUUAAAGUAAGACAAUAUCACAAACUCAGGAAGCAUAAUAGCAGACAAACCACCACCAUCUAUAAAUAAAAUGUUUUAGGUACACCAAAGAGAAUGUGCUUGAAACUCAGAAAAGUCAUGCUAUAAAGGUUUUGCUCCUCUUUGAAAUUUGAGAGGUAAUAGUUCCUCCAAUGCUUUCCAAUACUUCUGCAAUUCAAGGGCAAGCAUUACAGAUUUCCGACUGCUUCUUUCCCACUCCCUUAUUCAGCAAUAUUUAUAUAAUGCCUACCAUGUGAAAACUAAUCUCUCAAAGUUAGGAUUAACACUUAUGGCCACCACAAAAGUGAUUUUUGUUCCCAUAAGAACUUCCAUUCAAACUUUUAAAAAAUCAUGUCCCUCAUAGGUGGCCAUAGAUCAUAAGCACUCCAACUUUUAAGAAAAAAAAAUUCCAUAAUAACAAAUACUAAAGGAGAAUCUCAUGAAGAAUGACAAAAAAUUUUAGACAUUUUUAAUAACUCACUAGUUACUGUUACUAGAAUAAAUAGGCACUAAAAUGUAAUAAAUAUCAGAGCCCUAAAAUAAAAUACCAGGGUAUUGUUCAGUAUGAGUAAAGAGAGGUGAGAAUAAAGAGAAUGGGGUAAUGAAAUCAUGUGAACAUGUCAAAGAAGGUGCUGAAGAAAGUUUAAAUUAUCAACCAGUAGGAAGGUUAUGAAAGGUCAAAGGGCAGAGAAAGGGAAUUUCGUGAAAAGGUUUUCUGGAGCAAGAUGAAAAUUCCCAUGAUCCUCCCUGUCUCCAGUAGAAGGAGUUGCUGCCACUUCUCUCAGAAGUAUGUGUCCCCUGAAUUUGGAAGGCUUGGUCAUCAGGAACUAGACUCAACUGAUAAAUUGCAAGCAGUCCAUGGGAGCAUAGAGAUGGCUGCAGCUGGGAUGUAAAUGCAAUUCACUCCCACAUUGGGUCAAAAAGGCAUGUCUCAGGGACCAGAUGUACAGUCCAUGGUAGAAAUGCCAGGCAAGGAGCAUUCGAAAUAGGAAUCUGUCUAAGAGAGCAGCCUGCCAAGGUGAAAGGACCAUAGGAAUAAGGGAUUGAUACUAGAACAUCAGGGGGCAUCACGAGUGGUCCCAGCAAGUAUAUGUACCCUGAGUCUUAGACCCUUAUCAUUAAUUUCCAUAACUCUAACUUCCAGGCAUUAGAUCAAAGCCCAUUGUGUCAGGUGGGCAUAGUUGUUGGUGUUUACUCUCUGAAGUGCCUCGCCUCCAGAGGCUAUGUAUGGAAUGUAGCAGUAAUGAGAUAACUAAGAAUGACAAGUCUGGCCAGGCAAUAUAAAGUAAAAAUGACAAAAUUACAAAAAGGAAUCGGCAAAUCUACAAUCAUAGUGGAAGAUUUUCAUACGCCUUUCUCAGAAUGUAGCAGGCAGAGAAAAAAAUACACACUAAGGAUUUAUAAAAUAUUUCAGCAACACAAUUAAAGAGCUAAUCUAAAAGAUAUACUAUAUGUAUAAGCCUGCAUAUGAUGAAUAGAAAAUAGAAAAUAUACUUUUUUAUCAAGCCUAAGUGGAACUGUCUGAAAAAAUGACUACACACCAGGCCACAAAUCUAUUUAUAUUACAUAUCUAUAUCAUAAAAGUAACCUGCUAAUCAAAGAGGAAAUCACAAUGAGGAAAUUAUUUUAAAAAAACAAACUUAGCCAGAUGUGGUGGCAAGUGUCUGUAGUCCCAGCUACUCAGGAGGCUGAAGUGGGAGGAUCACUUGAGCCCAGCCUGGGCAACAUAGCAAAAGCCCAUCUCAAAAACAAAACAAAACAAAACCCUGAAACUAUACAACAAUAAUAGUGCUCUAUAUGCUAAAAAUGUGGGCAUAUUUCUAAAGCAAUACUUUAGCCUUAAGUGAAUUUACCUAACAAGAAAGAUAAAAAAUAAAUGAGCUAAGAAUUCCACUGAAGACUGGGAGACGAAAAGAAUAAAUGCAAAGUAGAAGAAAGGAUGUAAUAAAGAUAAUAGCAGAAAUUAAUAAAAUUUUUAAAACUCCACUAGAGAUGAUGAGGCCACCAAAAUAU